rnacentral:tRNA from 1 species
CCGUUAGCUCAGUUGGUAGAGCAACUGACUCUUAAUCAGUGGGUCUAGGGUUCGAGUCCCU